rnacentral:rRNA from 1 species
UACGUAGGGGGCAAGCGUUGUCCGGAUUUAUUGGGCGUAAAGAGCGUGUAGGCGGCCAAGCAGGUCAGCUGUGAAAACUCGAGGCUCAACCUCGAGACGUCGGUUGAAACCGCUUGGCUAGCGUCCGGAAGAGGAGAGUGGAAUUCCCGGUGUAGCGGUGAAAUGCGCAGAUAUCGGGAAGAACACCCGUGGCGAAGGCGGCUCUCUGGGACGGUACUGACGCUGAGACGCGAAAGCGUGGGGAGCGAACAGG